rnacentral:rRNA from 1 species
UCGCCCAGUAUCCACUGCAGUUCCCAGGUUGAGCCCAGGGCUUUCACAACGGACUUAAACGACCACCUGCGCGCGCUUUACGCCCAGUAAUUCCGAGUAACGCUUGCACCCUUCGUAUUACCGCGGCUGCUGGCACGAAGUUAGCCGGUGCUUAUUCUUUGGGUACCGUCAUCCCAACCGGGUAUUAGCCAGCUGGAUUUCUUUCCCAACAAAAGGGCUUUACAACCCGAAGGCCUUCUUCACCCACGCGGUAUGGCUGGAUCAGGCUUGCGCCCAUUGUCCAAUAUUCCCCACUGCUGCCUCCCGUAGGAGUCUGGACCGUGUCUCAGUUCCAGUGUGGCUGAUCAUCCUCUCAGACCAGCUACGGAUCGUCGCCUUGGUGGGCCUUUACCCCGCCAACUAGCUAAUCCGACAUCGGCUCAUUCAAUCGCGCAAGGUCCGAAGAUCCCCUGCUUUCACCCGUAGGUCGUAUGCGGUAUUAGCG